GUGGGGAAUAUUGGACAAUGGGCGAAAGCCUGAUCCAGCCAUGCCGCGUGAGUGAUGAAGGCCUUAGGGUUGUAAUGCUCUUUUAGCGGGGAAGAUAAUGACGGUACCCGCAGAAUAAGCCCCGGCUAACUUCGUGCCAGCAGCCGCGGUAAUACGAAGGGGGCUAGCGUUGUUCGGAAUUACUGGGCGUAAAGCGCACGUAGGCGGAUUGGCAAGUCAGGGGUGAAAUCCCGGGGCUCAACCUCGGAACUGCCUUUGAUACUGCCAGUCUAGAGUCCGGAAGAGGUGGGUGGAAUUCCUAGUGUAGAGGUGAAAUUCGCAGAUAUUAGGAAGAACACCGGUGGCGAAGGCGGCCCACUGGUCCGGAACUGACGCUGAGGUGCGAAAGCGUGGGGAGCAAACAGGAUUAGAUACCCCUGUAGUCC
rnacentral:rRNA from 1 species